AUUGAACGCUGGCGGCAGGCCUAACACAUGCAAGUCGAGCGGAGCGGCGGACGGGUGAGUAAUGAAUGGGGAUCUGCCUGAUGGAGGGGGAUAACUACUGGAAACGGUUGCUAAUACCGCAUACCAGAGGCUGGACCCGAGUGGGAUUAGCUAGUUGGUGGGGUAACGGCUGACCAAGGCGACGAUCCAUAGCUGGUCUGAGAGGAUGAUCAGCCACACUGGAACUGAGACACGGCCCAGACUCCUACGUGAGGCAGCAGUGGGGAAUCUUGGACAAUGGGCGAAAGCCUGAUCCAGCCAUGCCGCGUGUGUGAAGAAGGUCUUCGGAUCGUAAAGCACUUUCAGUUGGGAGGCGUUACCGACAGAAGAAGCAACGGCUAACUUCGUGCCAGCAGCCGCGGUAAUUC
rnacentral:rRNA from 1 species